rnacentral:rRNA from 1 species
AUUGAACGCUGGCGGCAUGCUUUAUACAUGCAAGUCGAACGGCAGCGCGGGCUUCUGCCUCGCGUCGCGUGGCGAACGGGCGAGUAAUACAUCGGAACGUGCCCAGUAUUGGGGGAUAGCUUGGCGAAAGCCGGACUAAUAUCGCAUCCGAUCUGAGGGUGAAACGCGUGGAUCUUCGGACCACGCCCUUUUGGCGCGCCCGAUGGCUGAUUAGCUAGUUGGUGGGGUAACGGCUUACCAAGGCAACGAUCCGUAGCUGGUCUGAGAGGACGACCAGCCACACUGGAACUGAGACACGGCCCAGACUCCUACGGGAGGCAGCAGUGGGGAAUUUUCGACAAUGGGCGAAAGCCUGACCCAGCAAUGCCGCGUGAGUGAUGAAGGUCUUCGGAUUGUAAAACUCUGUUGUCGGGAACGAAAAGAUCUGUGCCAAAACCACGACUCGUUGACGGUACCCGCAGAGUAAGCACCGGCUAACUACGUG